ensembl:lncRNA
CAAAGCCUCAAAAGCACAUCCACCACCUCCACUGAUUUAGAGCUACAAGCACUCACACUUGGCAGCGGGUCCAGUAGCAUAGCCACAAGGAGAGCUCAUCGCAGAAGGAACUCACGCUCUAGGAUCUUUAAGCCAAAUCCACAUGAUGAGCUCCGACGGUAUUCUGGGGCUUGGCCAGGGGACCAGUACCGUGAUCAGGAAACCCAAACGAGCCCUGAGCCCACAAAGAGCAAUGCAAAUUCAGGCCCUGCCAAUACAGAAGCACAAGAUGCUCCUGCUGCCCCAGAGGUAACAACUCCUGCUGAGACUACAUCGGUGGCUCCAGGGGCUGCCCCAGGGGCCAUUGGGGCUUCGUCAGCUCCACCGGCUCCAUCGGUUCCAUCAGUUCCACCGACUCCAGCAGCUCCACCGGCUUCAGGAGCUCCUGACCCCAGCACCCCUUACGGGUAUCCCAUGAAGGGCCAGAAAAGCCUAAAACCAUCCAGUAACAGUGCUUUUUCACGGACAGGUACCUUCUCCAAGAGCACAGGUUCUCACAGACCUCCAUUACAUCCCCCAUCACACCCUCCACCCCCUCCUCCAACCCAACCUCCAUCUCAACCUCCUCCUCCUCCACCAACACAGCCCCCAGCUCAAUCCCCACCAUCAGAUCUGACUGAAGAGGCAAAGUCAGCCACAGGGCCAAACCCAGAGGCAUUUAGCCAGUUCUUGCUAAAGCCAGUGUGCCGGCGGCCGUGGGAUACCGUUGAGGAUCUUGAGACCAUCAAUAAGGAGGCGCAAGACCAAGCAGGUAAACGCCCCAGUGUGGACCAGUGCAUUGAGGAUCUUAAUGAGGCCUACAAAGAUAUCCUUGAGCUCAGCACUGCCAGCAAUAACCUUCCCAACCGCUCCUCCAUGCAAAUCCCUGACCGCAUUAAAUCCAGGUUAUCUUCAGAUUCACUUGGAAUUCCUGCAACUGCUCUUCGACCAAGCUUGGUGCCUGGAAGUGACCCAGAAUACCGGGAGGUGAAGAGUGCCUUUUCCAGACCAUCAACUGGGAAGAGUGUGAGCUUCAGCAAACAGCUGAGAGAGGAGAUUUGUCCUGCUCCUCCCCCAUCAGAACCAGGUUUCAGAGAUUACAAAACAGUCAUGUCCCAGAUUACCCAACGCAAAGCCUGCAGAUCAGUGAAGCUGGAUAUCCCAGUCCCCAAAGAGACCCAAAGAGAUGACGAUUUGACUGCACAAACCUCCUCCACCUCUUCCAUGGCAGCCGAGCUCCCAUGGGCAGACAGACAGCCCAUGCAAGAUGCCUCCACUCUAACCAGCCCCCCAGACUAUGAGCACAUCUGUCAAACUCUUCAAAUGGCCCGUGAAUCUGGGGCUGUUAGCCGAGCUUCUAUAAAAUCCAAACCAGGAAGUGCCAUGAGCAUCGAAACCCCACAGCAUGUGCCCAUACCUGGUAGGCCUCCCGUUGAUUCUGAGCAGCCAUGUUGUUCUUCAGCAUUAGAAGUGAGACAGGAGCCAAUGGCAUUAUUCAGGGAGGAAAGGAGCUCAGGCUUUAGGAGGGUAACAAGCCACACUAACAGGUUCCUUAGUAACAGGGGUGUGCUCGGUAGCCUUGCAACCGGAAAGCCUGUUGGUGACAAAGCAGG